rnacentral:rRNA from 1 species
UAGAGUUUGAUCCUGGCUCAGAACGAACGCUGGCGGCAUGCCUAACACAUGCAAGUCGAACGAGACCUUCGGGUCUAGUGGCGCACGGGUGCGUAACGCGUGGGAAUCUGCCCUUGGGUUCGGAAUAACUCGCCGAAAGGCGUGCUAAUACCGGAUGAUGUCGUAAGACCAAAGAUUUAUCGCCCAGGGAUGAGCCCGCGUAAGAUUAGGUAGUUGGUGAGGUAAAGGCUCACCAAGCCGACGAUCUUUAGCUGGUCUGAGAGGAUGAUCAGCCACACUGGGACUGAGACACGGCCCAGACUCCUACGGGAGGCAGCAGGGGGGAAUAUUGGACAAUGGGCGCAAGCCUGAUCCAGCCAUGCCGCGUGAGUGAUGAAGGCCCUAGGGUUGUAAAGCUCUUUCACCGGUGAAGAUAAUGACGGUAACCGGAGAAGAAGCCCCGGCUAACUUCGUGCCAGCAGCCGCGGUAA